CUCCCAGCCUGGCCCUCUGGCUGCCGAAGGAUUGCUGGGAGCCUGUGGCGGAAGGCACAGUGGGCAGCGCUGGUGGAACACCUGCUUUCUCUCUUGCAUGCCCCUCUCCAGUCUGGGGACGCUGUGGAGGGCGCUUCUGACUUGCACACAGUUAGAAUCCCCAAAGAAGUCGGCAGAAUCUCCUGGGUUUUUUGCCAACCCAGGGAACAAUUUGAAGGCCCAACAUCAGACAAGUGGACAGGCCUGACAUUCCUGUGGCCUCUUGGUGACCCCUCUCUGCUUCUACAACUCCUGAUUUACGUCGCUUUAAAAGGGGGGGGGUGUCCUACCUGUUAUUGGACACAAAUGUUGAUGGUUUUUCACCAAAGCCAAUGACUGUUUUGGCUUCAUUAUUCAAAGUACAGGAUGACAUCAGAAAAUUGGAUUUGAGGUAGAAGAUUUCAAAGGAAGAGAAAAACCGUGGCUUAUUUAUAGUUAAAAAUAGGAAAGAGUUAAAGCAACAGAUAGUUCAGAACCACUGAAACCCUAUCAAGACUUCGUUAUAGAUUCUAGGGAACCUGAUGUGACUGGCCCUGUGUGUGAACUACUGAAGUACCAAGGUGAGCACGGUCUCCUAAAGGAGGUGGAGCAGUGGUCCAUCCCCCCAUUUCCUGUGAGCAGCCGUGACAUCAGGAAAGUGGGCAUUUCUUCAGGAAAGGAAACUGGGGCUCUGUUUCAACAACUGGAUGAACAGUGGGAAAAAAGUGGAUUUCAAAUGGAGAAAGAAGAACUUCUAAGUUACACAAAGAAGCCCUAAAACAGAUCAACGAUCUGGCUAUUAAAAAGUGGAAACUUUUGGUGAGACUGUCUACACUCCCCCACCAUCCCUUUUAAUGAGAUUAAAGAAACUAUAGCAGAAUUGAAGCCAUUGUGGAGGGUCUCUUUAGAAGAACUAAGUCUUACUUUGUAAAAUCUCCUUUUAAUCUGGUUUAUAUCACUAAAUCUUAUACUUGUUUUGGAAUACUUGCAACUGAGAAAAGUAUAGUUGGCUUCCAUCUAUCUGUAUGGAGUUUCUAAAUGAAAAUUUUGUUUUUGCACAAGGCAGUACUAAGAUUGAUGUUUAAAAAGUGGUAACUGUCUUUAAAAAAAUAUUUAAUGUUUGUACUGAUUCCCUAUGUUGUUUCAGUUCUUAUAUGAAUGCCAAAAAUAACUUGUGUCUGAAAAAAUAGUCAACAGAUUUUCAUAAAACCAUGUAGAAAAUAUGAAUAACAAGCAUAUCCUGCGUGGCUGACAUUCAUACUUUUCUGUCGUAAGAUUCUUUACAUGCAAAGCCUGGUAAACUUAUGGGAUUAACCUGAGGAUUACUCUUGAGACUAUUAUUUUGAUAAAGUAUUUCCUCUGGUUUUGGGAAGUAAAAAAAGAAAAAAGAAAUAAGAACAACUCUACGUGUACACUGUAAAACAAUAGUAGAUUAAAAUUGAUAAUUGCCAGGAUAGUUGACACACUCCCCAGAGCAGAGCAGAUUCAAGCUUUCCCUAUGCGAUGCCGAGAGUAGUCAGUGCCCCUCUUCCUGCUCUAUGAAGACAGAAAAUAAGACGAGGCCUUGGAGCUAAGGACAAAGGCUUUGGCCAUUUCCUGCUCUGCUCUAAGGACUGACGACAACUAGCUUCAGUCAAUUCAAGUCCUUUCAGGGUGCAGAGGAAGUACCUCCUUGACUUACAGAAAGAGCCCGAACUCCUCCAGUUCGGCCCUGAAGAUAGAAUUGUGAACUCGAGUUGGAAGUAGGUUUUCUUUGUGCACGAUGUGAAGCAUAUCACAAGCAAAUACCGUGUGGCUUGUAGCUUGAGAGGAAAUGGACACAGCCUUCCCAGGCAUGAGGGAGAGCGUCCUUUCUCACCCACUGACCUUCCUUGGGAGGAAGUCUCUAUGGACCUUUGUACCUGACGGCAUUCAUUUCAGUUGGAACCUUGUCUCUCCCAUCCAAAGAGACUUAGGUUAAAACAAUGUAAUAGCUUUUCCCCAACAAGCAACAUAGACCACGACCACAACCCAGCUUAGCAUUUUCAUAUUUUCAUGCAAGUAUCUCUGUGGUUUCAUGUUAGAUUUGGUAUAAAAGCCCUGUCCUGUCCGCUUAGCAUCCUCUGAGAGAAAUAGUAGGCUUUAAACAUUCACUGGUGCCUGCUGUGCUGUGUGUAAUCACAAAAAUGGGAAUGAAAGUCUUGUCUUAUAGGUCAGUUGGAAGAUGAACUAAGAAAAUCUGAGCAAAAGCUGUCUGCCUUGGUGUAAGUGAUACUCGGAGCUAAACAGAAAAUCCCUGUGCUUGAAUUCGUAAAUUCUCUGAGCAGCUGUGUCUUGUCCCCCAGUGGAGCUCCAUUGCCAAGCUCGGUGCCUGAAUGUGACCUGGAUGUGAUCCACAGAUACUGGCUGAGGGUUCUGUUCAGGUCCCUUUCUUUCUCCAGGUCCUAAAAAGAACACGUCCGUGGUGCAUUAGAGAAUGACACUGGAUUUCCACAGUGUCUUUUCUCCUCAGAGCCCAUAUUAUGUUUUGUCAAAUUAUCACACUGCCCCUUUUCACAUUCCAGUGAGAAGCAGAAAAGCCCAAUAUGUAAUUUUCCUUAUUUUUCCGGGGGUGACGCUGCACUCUUAAAGUACAUUUGGCACACACGGAACGUCACCUAGAGUGACAACUGCUAUCACCUCAUCAUAACGGAUGUGUCUCUGACAACCGUGAGGGAAAGACAUUAGGAGGCCCAGGUAGGGUCCACAGGGAACUGUUAGUGAUGAGCCUGCUUACUCUUUUUGGGCUGGUAUACUAGUGCCCUCUAGUGGCCAAAUUGAUUCAAAGUAACUUUCUAUUUCACACAAGUUCAUUAUUUGAUCCUUCACUUAGUAAUAAUUUAUGUUUGUGGAAUAAAUGUAAAUAAGCCUAGUGAUUUGUAUUUGUCCAUACACUUUUGAUAAUGUUUUUAUUUUAUGGAAAAAUAAAACAAAACUUCAUAGCAAAAUAAUAACAGCAAGAGUUAAUACACUGUAUCGUUAUCUUCAAAGUAGUUACUCAGAGUACACGACAUAGACAAAAAAGAUUCUGACAAAGAAAAGACAGACGGACAAUAGCAGGUAUUUGUCCAUAUACUAAUACUGUGACUUUGGCUUUUUACAGAAGCCUGGG
rnacentral:lncRNA from 1 species